GAGUUUGAUCCUGGCUCAGAACGAACGCUGGCGGCGUGCCUAACACAUGCAAGUCGAACGUGAUCCAGAGCUUGCUCUGGUGAAAGUGGCGCACGGGUGAGUAACGCGUGGAUAACCUACCCUGGUAUCCGGGAUAACAUUCCGAAAGGGGUGCUAAUACCGGAUAAGCCCACGGGCUCUUUGGGGCUUGCGGGAAAAGGUGGCCUCUAUUUAUAAGCUACUGUAUCAGGAUGGGUCCGCGUACCAUUAGCUAGUUGGCGGUGUAACGGACCACCAAGGCGACGAUGGUUAGCUGGUCUGAGAGGAUGAUCAGCCMCACUGGAACUGAGACACGGUCCAGACUCCUACGGGAGGCAGCAGUGGGGAAUUUUGCGCAAUGGGGGAAACCCUGACGCAGCAACGCCGCGUGAGUGAUGAAGGCCUUUGGGUCGUAAAGCUCUGUCAGAGGGGAAGAAAUGAUAUAGUGCUAAUACCACUUUAUCUUGACGGUACCCUCAAAGGAAGCACCGGCUAACUCCGUGCCAGCAGCCGCGGUAAUAC
rnacentral:rRNA from 1 species